GAUGAACGCUGGCGGCGUGCCUAAUACAUGCAAGUCGAGCGAAGCGGGGACGGGUGAGUAACAUGUAGAUAACCCCCUAUAAGACUGGGAAAACUUAGGGAAAACGGAGCUCAAACCGAUACUUAUAGAUGGAUACGCGUUGUAUUAGCUAGUUGGUAAGGUAACGGCUUACCAAGGCAACGAUGCAUAGCCGACCUGAGAGGGUGAUCGGCCACACUGGAACGGAGACACGGUCCAGACUCCUACGGGAGGCAGCAGUAGGGAAUCUUCCGCAAUGGGCGAAAGCCUGACGGAGCAACGCCGCGUGAGUGAUGAAGGUCUUCGGAUCGUAAAGCUCUGUUAUUAGGGAAGCGGUACCUAAAGAGAAAGCCACGGCUAACUACGUGCCAGCAGCCGCGGUAAUUC
rnacentral:rRNA from 1 species